AGUGAACGCUGGCGGUAGGCCUAACACAUGCAAGUCGAACGGCAGCACAGUAAGAGCUUGCUCUUACGGGUGGCGAGUGGCGGACGGGUGAGGAAUACAUCGGAAUCUACUUUUUCGUGGGGGAUAACGUAGGGAAACUUACGCUAAUACCGCAUACGACCUACGGGUGAAAGCAGGGGAUCUUCGGACCUUGCGCGAUUGAAUUAGCCGAUGUCGGAUUAGCUAGUUGGCGGGGUAAAGGCCCACCAAGGCGACGAUCCGUAGCUGGUCUGAGAGGAUGAUCAGCCACACUGGAACUGAGACACGGUCCAGACUCCUAAGGGAGGCAGCAGUGGGGAAUAUUGGACAAUGGGCGCAAGCCUGAUCCAGCCAUACCGCGUGGGUGAAGAAGGCCUUCGGGUUGUAAAGCCCUUUUGUUGGGAAAGAAAAGCAGCAGGUUAAUACCACGCUGUUCUGACGGUACCCAAAGAAUAAGCACCGGCUAACUUCGUG
rnacentral:rRNA from 1 species